GGGUUUGUCCCCACUUCCAGGAUCCAACAAUGAAUCUUGGUGUCAAGGUUUAGAUGGCUUAGCUUCUAGAUCAGAUGAAUACUACAAGCAAGGGACCCGUUUUGCUAAGUGGAGAAGAACAGUUGUGAGCAUUCCUUGCGGUCCUUCUGCUCAUGGGGUCUUGCUCAUUAUGCUGCUAUUUCUCAGGACAAUGGUCUUGUGCCAAUAGUGGAACCUGAAAUUCUUCUUGAUGGAGACCGACCACCCAAUAGAGAGGACUCUGAUCUUGAGGUUGCAGAACGGGUGUGUGCCGGGGUCUUGUACUAUUUGGCAGAAAAACAAUGUUUUGUUUGAAGGAAUUCUGCUUAAAUCUAGCAUGGUUACGAACACAAAAAAGAGAAGGCUUUUCCAGAGACCAUUGCUAAAAAGGAGAGUGGCUCCUGCUGCUCCUGGCAAUCAUGGUAUGAAAUCCUAUUACCUACCAUGCUCAUUAGUAUGAUGAUAUUGUGUGUUUUUUCCCUGUAAGUUGUUGUCCGGAGGACAAUCUGAAGUGGAAGCAACAUUGAAUCUCAAAUAUGUGAAUGCAACCCCUACCUAGCUAAGCCAAAGAAUGGUAGCUCUCCAGCACUCACCAUAUCAAGCAUAGCACCUUUUCAAGCUCAAUAAUCAACGCCCCACACAAAGGGUAUUUGGAGUAGCAGGUAAAGGGAGAUAAGAUUCUCUUCUUUCUGCAUUCACAAAAUAAGUUGAAUAAGCACACAUACACCACCGCCUUAAAGAAUAACACGUACAGACAGCACUGAAUUCAGCAUACAUACAGAUGAGCUAGCUGUGACCACAGAAUUAACCUGCCUCAUCAACUUUCAAUCUCUGCAUUUCUGCUCCAUCAAAAUUUGCAGAUCACCUCACAUCUACACCCAUAUAUAUAUAUGCCCCGGUUGUUUUAGUAGAGUUGUAUCUUGACUGCUGAGGCAGAUUAAGAAUACCGGUUGUUUUUCUUUUACUAAAUAUUUCUUUUUGGUCUUGAGAUACUUCAUUAAAUAAA